ACGUAGGGUGCAAGCGUUGUCCGGAAUUAUUGGGCGUAAAGAGCUCGUAGGCGGUGUGUCGCGUCUGCCGUGAAAACCUGCGGCUUAACCGUGGGCGUGCGGUGGAUACGGGCACACUUGAGUUCGGUAGGGGAGACUGGAAUUCCUGGUGUAGCGGUGGAAUGCGCAGAUAUCAGGAGGAACACCAGUGGCGAAGGCGGGUCUCUGGGCCGAAACUGACGCUGAGGAGCGAAAGCGUGGGGAGCGAACAGGA
rnacentral:rRNA from 1 species